rnacentral:rRNA from 1 species
UUUGAUAAGGCAUCUUAUUAAUAUUAAGCUUCGGCACUUGAUGAUGGGUGUGCGGCUGAUUAGAUAGUUGGCGGGGUAACGGCCCACCAAGUCUACGAUCAGUAGCUGAUGGUGAGAGCAUGAUCAGCCACACGGGCACUGAGACACGGGCCCGACUCCUACGGGAGGCAGCAGUAAGGAAUAUUGGAUAAUGGACGAAAGUCUGAUCCAGCCAUGCCGCGUGAAGGAUUAAGGUCCUCUGGAUUGUAAACUUCUUUUAUAUGGGACGAAAAAAGGGCAUUCUUGUUCACUUGACGGUACCAUAUGAAUAAGCACCGGCUAACUCCGUG